UCUCUAACCUUAAAAAUUCGAAAAGUGUAUGAAGAGGCGACCCAUGUUUGUUUUCUUCUUCUUUUCACCUCAUCCCAAAUUGGCUGCUGAAUCAUUCAAAUGGAAAUCGGAAAGUGAUACAUAUAGGAGGGAGGUCAAGUAGACUCCUUUUUUAAACUUCCAAAAAUCAACCAUGACAACGAAGUUUUCGCGUUGCUGUACAAGAUAUUGUCAUCCGAAGUUCAGACUAUAAAAGGAGAAGACAAUGAGAAAGUCAAUCAACUGAGAGUGGACAUUACCAUCUCAGAAAUCUCGCAGCUCACCGACAAGAUGAAAAAAGCGUUUUUGGAGCAGCCAGCUCUCCUGGAAAUUAGCAAUGAGCCAAUCACAGUGGUCGCCGAUAUGCACGGCCAAUCGAUUCACCUGCUCCGAAUCUUCCUGACAAAUGAGGCUCCCCCGAAUCAAAAGUACUUGUUCCUCGGGGACUACGUGGACCGUGGAUCACAAAGUGUGGUGGUGAUGUGUCUUCUGUUCUGCAUGAAACAUCGCUAUCCUCAGCAUGUUUUCUUGCUGCGUGGCAAUCAUGAAGACGUCAAUACUACGCUGAACUACGGAUUCUAUGAUGAAUGCCUGGAGCAGUGGAAGAACGAUGAAGGAGAGAAAGUGUGGAGAAUGUUCAUUGAUACUUUCAAUUGUAUGCCGUUGGCGGCGGUUAUUGGAGGGAAGGUGUUCUGUGCACAUGGUGGAAUUUCGCCUUGGCUGGAAAGUUUGGAGGAUAUUAAUUCGAUCGAGCGUCCCUUGGUGGUCCCACCGUACGGCCUAGCGUGCGAUCUUCUCUGGUCGGACCCGGCUCAGCCGGAACGCAACGGCUGGGGCCUCAGUCACCGUGGAAUUUCAUUCACUUAUGGCAAAAGUGUUGUCGAAGAGUUUUGUGCGAAAAAUGACAUUGCUCUGGUGAUUCGGGGACAUCAACUGUUUAAGGAGAUGUACCCGCAAGGAUGUGUGCUUCGUUUCGGCGGUCGCCUGAUCUCCCUGUUCUCCGCACUGAACUACGAAGGACACAAGAACAAUAGCUCCGUGCUCAAGCUUGAAUUCGUCGGACAGCGUGUGAAGGUUAAGCAGGUUCUGUACAGAUGCCGACACUACGCACCGCUCCGUUCUAAUGAGUACUUGGGAUUUCGCGAUAUGAAGUCGUCAUCUGGGAAGAAUGAAAAGAGAAAGAAAGGAAGAUUGGAGAGUCUUUUGGGAUAGUG